rnacentral:pre_miRNA from 10 species
CUCGUCAGGCUCAGUCCCCUCCCGAUAAACCCCUAAAUAGGGACCUUCCCCCGGGGGCGCCCCGGCU